GCAAGAAGAGGUCUUAGCAAGCUUCCCACUUUCCAUUAAAGGAACUGAGGCCAAGUUAAUAUUUAAAUCCCUCUUAGAUGUAUUUAAAUUUUAUGAGAAUUUGAGGAUUGAACACAGAGGCAAUUUGCCCCUGAGCUACAUCCCCAGCCCUUUUUAUUUUUUGUUUUGAGACAGGGUCUUGCUAAGUUGCUGAGGCUGGCCUUGAACUUGAGAUCCUCCUGCCUCGGCCUGCAGAGUUGCUAGGUUUACAGGAUUAUACCACCACACCUGAUGGAGAGGUAAUUUUUGACCUUCUCUAUGGAUAGGGGAGGGGCAAGAGGGAAGGAGACUCUGGAUUCCCCCACUCUACCCCUGCAAGGGCCAAUCUCUGUACAAGGAUUUCUUCCCUUCUCCAAUGCCACUGUUGCAAGUCCCUGAGCAAAUGCCCAAGGGUGUGUGGGAGAGGCUGGGGUUAAUUAAGGGCAUCUGAGAUGGACGCUGUUCUUUUCCUGCUGGUCACCUCCCGAGCCAUCCUGGAAGCCAGGCUUUGUGGACCUAUUCCCUUUCGGUUUCCCUCUGAUGAUUACUCCCCCAUGUUAUCCUUGACCUUAGCCCCUGAGGAGCAGCUCUGCUGGCAGUCAUCUUGAUACCAGGGUGCAGCAGCCGGCUCCUGGCUCCGAUUCACUUGGUCCAUGAUUACAUUCGUGACAAAGCAGGCUGGGCUGAGGAAGAGGAGACGGAAGGCCUGGGAGGCCCCCAGGAUGUGACUAGGAAGGUGAGGGCACACGAAUGAUGGACCUGACACAGUGACUGGAGGAGUGACCAGAGGAUCCAGGGCAUGGGGUCAUCAGGGGAGGCUCUGGAGAGCAGCCUGGGUAAGAGGACUCUACCAGGUCUCUGUGCAAGGAGGG
rnacentral:lncRNA from 1 species